AGGGAUGUAGCUCAGUGGCACAGCACAUGCCUGGCAAGUGUGAGGCCCUGAGUUUGAUUCCCUGUAACCCCC
rnacentral:tRNA from 1 species